UGGUUGCAUGACAAGUGAUAGAUGAAGUAAUGAGCUUAAUCUUUAAAAAAUAACAAAGUAGUUAAGCAACUAGCUUUGCCAACCACAUUCUUAGCUAACUUUAAUAUAUUGGCUGCUAAUGUUAGUAACUUUUUUUUUUUUUUGGCUCAGUUCAGCUUUCAUUAGCGGGAGCAGACACAUGGAGCUGUGAAGGACAAGCCUGCCAUCAUCCAGAUAUCAGCGUGGGCCUGCUCUCUUCAGUGAAAACAAGGUGUGUCUUGAGUUUAUCAGAGGGGUUGGUAAGAGCCUGAGACAGGAGUUCUACGAAGCCCUUGACCAUCACAAUCCCAGGCUCAUAGAAAUACUUAAAGGAAAGAGAGGUCUCACAGGGCAGGUGCUGACUGACAUUAUGCAACAAACAAAGGCUUCAGAUCCUGUCCUCAUGGUGCUUCCUGUUUUUCUCGAAGAUGAUCCAUCUGUCUUUUUCAAGGCCUGUGAG